GACGAACGCUGGCGGCGUGCUUAACACAUGCAAGUCGAACGGAAAGUCCCUGCUUUUUUGGGGUGCUCUAGUGGCGAACGGGUGAGUUACACUUGAGUACCCUGCCCUUCACUUUGGUAUAACUUCAUGAAACUUGGUCUCUUCCCGCCUAGGAUCUCCUGCUUCUUGGUGGGGCUUGGAUGGUUUCGGCGGUUGGGGAUGUACUGGCCGCCUAUCGGCUUGUUGGGGGGGUAGGGGCUUACCAAGGCUUUGCAGGGUAGCCGUCCUGAGAGGGUGCACGGCCACAUUGGGACUGAGAUACGGCACAGACUCGUACGGGAGGCAGCAGUGGGGAAUAUUGCACAAUGGGCGGAAGCCUAAUGCAGCCAAGCCGCGUGCGGGAUGACGGCCUUCGGGUUGGAAACUGAUUUCGCCUGAGACGAGGCGUGAGUGACGGUAAUGGGUAAAGAAGCACCGGCUAACUACGUG
rnacentral:rRNA from 1 species